rnacentral:rRNA from 1 species
UCAGGAUGAACGCUGGCGGCGUGCUUAACACAUGCAAGUCGAACGAAGCAGUUUAUUACGAUCCCUUCGGGGUGACGAUUUACUGACUGAGUGGCGGACGGGUGAGUAACGCGUGGGUAACCUGCCUUGUACAGGGGGACAACAGUUGGAAACGACUGCUAAUACCGCAUAAGCGCACGGUGUCGCAUGACACAGUGUGAAAAGAUUUAUCGGUACAAGAUGGACCCGCGUCUGAUUAGCUAGUUGGUGAGGUAACGGCCCACCAAGGCGACGAUCAGUAGCCGACCUGAGAGGGUGACCGGCCACAUUGGGACUGAGACACGGCCCAAACUCCUACGGGAGGCAGCAGUGGGGAAUAUUGCACAAUGGGCGAAAGCCUGAUGCAGCGACGCCGCGUGAGCGAAGAAGUAUUUCGGUAUGUAAAGCUCUAUCAGCAGGGAAGAUAAUGACGGUACCUGACUAAGAAGCACCGGCUAAAUACGUGCCAGCAGCCGCGGUAAUACGUAUGGUGCAAGCGUUAUCCGGAUUUACUGGGUGUAAAGGGAGCGUAGGCGGUUUUACAAGUCUGAUGUGAAAGCCCGCAGCUCAACUGCGGUAUUGCAUUGGAAACUGUAGAACUAGAGUGUCGGAGGGGUAAGUGGAAUUCCUAGUGUAGCGGUGAAAUGCGUAGAUAUUAGGAGGAACACCAGUGGCGAAGGCGGCUUACUGGACG